rnacentral:rRNA from 1 species
UGCGCGAGUCGCUGGGCUCUUACGAACCCCAGAGGCGAAGCGAAAGCAAAGACCGGACUAGAGCCGGUUCAGGCAUGAUCGCGCCCGUUCAGUCGGGCGCGCGCAAUGCCGGCCUGUGUCAAUAACGGCCCCUUCGGGGGCCGGAGAGGCAGAGCCAGAGCGCACACGUUGGGACCCGAAAGAUGGUGAACUAUGUCUGAGCGGGGCGAAGUCAGGGGAAACCCUGAUGGAGGCCCGAAGCGCAUCUGACGUGCAAAUCGAUCGCCAGACUUGGAUAUAGGGGCGAAAGACUAAUCGAACCAUCUAGUAGCUGGUUCCCUCCGAAGUUUCCCUCAGGAUAGCUGGCACACGAGGAAACAGUUUUAUCCGGUAAAGAGAAUGAUUAGAGGUCUUGGGGACUUGUCGGUCCUCAGCCUAUUCUCAAACUUUAAAUGGGUGAGACGGGGCCGCUCGCUUAAACAGAAAUGUGGAGCGGUCCCACGAAUGCAAGUGCGCCAAGUGGGCCACUUUUGGUAAGCAGAACUGGCGCUGUGGGAUGAACCAAACGCCCGGUUAAGGCGCCCGAUGCGGACGCUCAUGAGACACCAUGAAGGGUGUCGGUCGGUAUAGACAGCAGGUCGGUGGCCAUGGAAGUCGGCACCCGCUAAGGAGUGUGUAACAACUCACCUGCCGAAUCGUCCGGCCCUGAAAAUGGAUGGCGCUGAAGCGUCGAGCCUAUACCGGGCCGUCGCCUCAAUACUUGGUCCCAGGGAGCCAAGAGGCGACGAGUAGGAGGAGCGUCGCGGUGAGCGCAGAAGCCUGGGCCGUGAGGCCGGGUGGAGCCGCCGCGAGUGCAGAUCUUGGUGGUAGUAGCAAAUAUUCAAACGAGAGCUUUGAAGACUGAAGCGGAGAAGGGUUCCACGCGAACAGCAGUUGAGCGUGGGUUAGUCGGUGCUGAGCCACAGGGGAAGCCCGCCUUGAAAAGUGGCGGAGUCGGGGCCUUGUUGAACAACAAGCAAAACACAAACGAAAAGUUUAUGGCAAGCAAACUUUAUCAGCCCCACGCUUUCUCGGCGAAAGGGAAUCCGGUUAAUAUUCCGGAACCUGGUAUCGGAGAGCGCCCCGCGGCUGGUCCGCGGGGUACGACUGAACGGCAACGGAACCUGCCAUCGAGACGCCAGUCGCUGUCCCGGGAAGAGUUUUCUUUUUCUUUGUGAGGGUCGGACUCCCUGGAAACGGUUCGCCGGAAGAUAGGGAUGUUGUACCCGUAAAGCGGCGCGGCUCUCGCGCCGUCCGGUGCGCAGCGACAGGCCCGUGAAAAUCGGUGGCAGUCUCAGUGUUGCUCCCGUGCCAGACCGUACCCGAAUCCGCAACAGGUCU